AUUGAACGCUGGCGGCAUGCCUUACACAUGCAAGUCGAGCGCAGGAAACUGACGGAACUCUUCGGAGGGAAGGCAGUGGAAUGAGCGGCGGACGGGUGAGUAACACGUAAGGAACCUGCCUCAAGGAUUGGGAUAACUCCGAGAAAUCGGAGCUAAUACCGGAUAGUUCAACGGACCGCAUGGUCCGCUGAUGAAAGGCGCUCCGGCGUCACCUUGAGAUGGCCUUGCGGUGCAUUAGCUAGUUGGUGGGGUAACGGCCCACCAAGGCGACGAUGCAUAGCCGACCUGAGAGGGUGAUCGGCCACACUGGGACUGAGACACGGCCCAGACUCCUACGGGAGGCAGCAGUAGGGAAUCUUCCACAAUGGACGAAAGUCUUAUGGAGCAACGCCGCGUGAGUGAUGAAGGUUUUCGGAUCGUAAAACUCUGUUGUAAGGGAAGAACACGUACGAGAGGAAAUGCUCGUACCUUGACGGUACCUUACGAGAAAGCCACGGCUAACUACGUGCCAGCCGCCGCCGUAA
rnacentral:rRNA from 1 species